rnacentral:rRNA from 1 species
CUAAGGUACUUAUGCUCGAUCUAUUGCUAAGCAAGCUUUUCUAUACUACAAUUUCGAUUGUCAAGGGUGCCUAAUUUUCAAGCUAGGCUUUUCUCAGUUCACUUGCCAUUACUAGAGGAAUCAUGGUAAGUUUCUUUUCCUUUGCUUAUUGAUAUGCUUAAACUCAACGGGUGAUCUUGCUUAACCUGGGGUCAUGAUUUGAGCAUUAACCAAGCAAUACAGGGAGUUCAGAUGGACAACGGGCACUUGUCACUAGAGAUGAGGCAUGCUUAGAGCUUUAGCAUUGAUAGUCAUGAUGCUAUCAUUGCCAGGGACUCACUUUUAGGCCAACCAUGACCAAUGAGAUCACGAAAGGCCAUGUGUGUGAGUCAACGAGCUAGAAAACCUAUAAGGCGUGAGGAAGUUGAUUGGCUCGAUCCUUCACGAGUGCACUACUGAUUGACUUUGAUCUUUUAAGAAGGGUUUGAGUGUGAGCAUGCAUGUUAGGACCCGAAAUAUGGUGAACUAUGCCUAAGUAGGGCAAAGCCAAAGGAAAUUCUGAUAGAGGCCCAUAGCGAUAUUAAUGAGCAAAUCAUUUAUCUAACUUAGGUAUAAGGGUGAAAGACUAAUCAAACCAUUUAGUAGCUAGUUCCCUCUGAAGUUUCCCUUAGGAUGGCUAAAGCCCUUAGCGAUUUCUAUCAGGUAAAGCCAAUGAUUAGAGGUAUCGGGGGUGUAAUGCCCUCAACCUAUUCUCAAACUUUAAAUUGGUAGGAUGGCACUAUUGCUUCAUUGAGUGGCACCAAAGAAUUGAGAACUCUAAGUGGACCAUUUUUGGUAAGCAAAAUUGGCAAUGCGAGAUGAAUUGGAAGUUAGGUUACAGUGCCUAAUUGCAUGCUAACCUAGAACCCAUAAAGGGUGUUGAUCGAUUAAGAUAAUUAGACAACAGUUAUGGAAGUCAAAAUUUGAUAAAAAUGUGUAACAACUCACCUGCCGAAUCAAUUAGCCCUGAAAAUGGAUGGCACUUAAGUGCAUGAUCUAUACCUGAUUAUCAAGCUAAGGGCUAGGCCUCGAUGAGUUGGAAAACAUGAUGGUUGCUAUAAAACUUUGGUGUGAGCUUGGAUGGAGCGACCAUCAAUGUAGAUUUUGGUGAUAAUAGUGAAUACUUAAAUGGGAACUUCGAAGGUCAAAAAGGGGAAAGAUUCCAUGUGAACAACACUUGCACAUGGGUUAGUCGAUCCUAAGAGUCAAGGGAAGCCUGUCUGAUUGUGCAUCCAACAUGAGCUUUGAAAGGGAAUCAGGUUAAAAUUCUUGAAUCAAGACACGAUAGUUGACAACAACAUUAGAGAGUUUAGAGACGUUAGCAGAGGCCUUGGGAAAAGUUAUCUAUUCUGUUUAAUAGCUUGUCCACCCUAAAAACAGCUCAGUUAGAGGUAGGGUCCAAUAGUCGAAAGAGCACCGCACGUCACAUGGUGUCUAAUGCACCCCUGAUGGCCUGUGAAAAUCUAGAGGAUGGAGUGUCAUCCAUGCCUAGUCGUAUUCAUAACCACAUCAAGUCUCGAAGGUGAAUAGCCUCUGGUCGAUAGAACAAUGUAGGCAAAAGAAGUUGGCAAAAUGGAUCCAUAACCUUGGGAAAAGGAUUAGCUUUGAGGUUUGGGCAUAGGGUCCCAAUCCUAAACCCAUUGACUAUCAGUGCACUACUUGAGCUAUCCCCAUAGCGAAACCUAAUCGUUGCAUGCCAGCUAGGGGAUGGACUGGAAAUGGCUCCCUUAGGGGCUUUCCCCGAGUGACAAACAGUCAACUUAAAAUUGGUAUAGAUAAGGGAAAUCCAACUAUUUUAUUAAAACAAAGCAUUGUGAUGGUCCUUGCAAAUGCUUAGACAAUGUGAUUUCUACCAGUGCUUUAAAUGUCAAAGUGAAGAAAUUCAGCCAAGCACAAAUAAAUGGCAGGAAUAACUAUGACUCUUUGAAGUUAGCCAAAUAUCUCGUCAUCUAAUUAGUGCAUGAAUGGAUUAAUGUGUUUCCCACUAUCCCUAUUUACUAUCCAGCAAAACUAUAGCCAAAGGAAUGGGCUUGGCAAAAUUAGUAGGGGAAAACGACCUUGUUGAGAGUCUAACUUUGUGAAAUGACUUGAGAGGUGUAUGAUAAGUGAGAGCCAUCAGGCAAAAUUGAAAUACCACUACUUUUAACAUUAUUUUACUUAUUUCGUGAAUUAAAAGUGAGGCAUGACCCAUUUUUUUGGAUCCAAGGCUAGCCUUGGUUGGUCGAUUCGAGCAAAAAACAUUGUCAGGUGAGGAGUUUGGCUAGGGUGGCACAUCUAUUAAAAGAUAAUGUAAGUGUCCUAAGAUGAGCUCAACCAAAGCAAAAAUAUUGUAUGGAACAAAAGGGUAAAAGCUCAUUUUAUUCUAAUUUCCAAUGCAAAUAUGAAUCAUUAAAGUGUGGCUUAUCAAUCCAUUAAACCUUCAAAAUUUGAAGCUAAAGGUGUCAGAAAAGUUACUACAAGGAUAGCUGGCUUAUGGUAUAGUGACAUUGCUUUUUGAUCCUUCGAUGUCAGCUCUUCUUACCAUUAUGAAUUAGAAUUCACCAAGUGUUGGAUUGUUCACCCACCAAUAGGGAAUAUAAGCUAGGUUUAGACAAUUAUAAGACAUGUUAGUUUUACCCUGCUGAUAGUAAUGUCGUAGUAGUAAUUCAACCUAGUACUAGAGGAAUCAUUGAUUGAAACAAUUAUUCAUCACGCUUGAUUGAAAAACCAGUGGCAUUAAGCUACCAUACACUGGAUUAUGACUAAAUGUCUCUAAGUCAUAAUUGAAGCUAGAAUCAACGUAUUCACUCAUUGCCUAAUUGCCAACCUGCAAUAGGGGCCCAUGGCCCUUAAGGGCACAUGUCGUAGGUGCAAUCCCUGUGAUGGACAAACUACACAAGCUUCCUUAGAGCUCAAUUGCAAUGACUUAGAUAUGUGAUGGGAUAUUGUAAGUAGCAGAGUGGCCUUAUUGCCAUAAUUCACUGAGAUUUAACCCUUCGUUUUGAUUUGUCCUUCCCUUCUAC